CCCCACACAAGGUUCCUAUCUUCUAAUCCCAGCUACCUGUGAAUGUGACAUUAUUUGAAAUGGGGUCUUAAGAGAUAUAAUUAAGUAUCCUGAGAUGAGAUCAUUCUGGAUUUAGGAUGGACAUUAAAUCCAAUCACAGUUGUUAUAUGCUAUAUAACAACAUUUCAGUGAAAAACAGACUGCAUACACGAUAGACCUAUAAAAUUAUAACAAAGCAGAAAAUUUCCCAUUGCCCGGAGCCAUCCUAGCCAUCGUAAAGUCAUAGUGCAGUGCAUUACCAUGUGUUUGUGGUGAUGCUGGUGUGCAGUGUUUAUGAAGUCUACAGUAGUGUCCAGUUGUGUCCCAGGCCUUCUCAUUCACUCACCACUCACAGACUGACUCACUCAGAGCAACUUUCAGUCCUGCAAACUCCUUUCACGGUGAUCCACCCACCUUGGCCUCCCAAAGUGCUGAGAUUACAGGCGUGAGCCACCACGCGCGGGAUGUCAAGGGGCGUGCAGAAAAUCUGAAGAAGGCUGAGGACAUUGUAUUCAUCAAGAAAAUAAGAACCAGAAGUCACCAGGACAGUGAAGAUAUUUAACACAACAAUCUAACUGGGAAAAAUAUAAUAAAGUUAGUUUCGUGAUUUAAAAAAAUCUCUCAAAGAUAAUGAAAGACUUGAAUCAAAUAACUUGAAUCAGUAUCUUCCCAACAGUGCAUAUACUUUCUUUUGGAAACAUACAUUUCUUUCUACAUAUUUAGAUAGAGGUCCUAACAUGCUGCUGCUUUAAUGCAAUGGUGGUGGUACUUCAAGAUCAGGAUAUUUUAGGGUAUCCAUAGGCCAAGAAAGUUUAAAAAUAGUUCUUGUGUGGCACAUUCUUAUGACUUCUGAAGAAGCUUCUCAAGAGGUCUCUUUUAGUCAGUUAUUUUUCUUCCUACAAAAUGCUUGACAAUAGUUUAGAUAAUCAUGGUAUAACCUGUAUAGAGUACUAUUCUGAGUCUUAUUAAAAGAUGUGAAAUACACCUAAAUGUAGACAUCUAAAUAUAAAAUGGUAAA
rnacentral:lncRNA from 1 species